CCUUAAGGCAACGUGGCAUAACGUGAUUGGGUCUAAAAUAAGGGCUUCUAUGUCUGCUCUCGUUCUCUUGUCGCCUCCUCUUCUCCUCGACUCGCGAUCAUCCCUGAUCAGGGGUUACGUUUGCAGAGGUACUACUACUUAAUCAUUGAAGAAGAAUUCUCCGGUAUGGGGACAUCACCUCUAUCACCACACCACCUCUGUUGUUGAGGUUUCCACUUUACCCCUCCCUGUAUUUACUUACAACAUUAUUUCCAUUGAAUCAUCAUGUCAUGAUGAGCUUAUACUUUGAUCCUCUCUUGUGGAAGAAAAAAAAACCAACUGUUUGAUUUUUUUUAUUGUUUGUUUCUCAUCUGAUUGAGAGUUUGGUUAUUUUAAAAUGUAAUUUAUAAAGUUUCUAUGAAUUGAAUAAAAUGUUUGUUUCCUUUUUUCUAUUA